rnacentral:rRNA from 1 species
GGGGGGGUCCCGAGGGGCCCCCUCGCACUCCCGGGGCGUCUUUUUCUCAUCGCGAGAANAGGCGCACCCAAAGCGUACACCCUGGGACCCGAAAGAUGGUGAACUAUGCCUGGUCAGGACGAAGUCAGGGGAAACCCUGAUGGAGGUCCGUAGCGAUUCUGACGUGCAAAUCGAUCGUCGGAACUGGGUAUAGGGGCGAAAGACUAAUCGAACCAUCUAGUAGCUGGUUCCCUCCGAAGUUUCCCUCAGGAUAGCUGGCGCUCGCUUCUCGCGAGUCUCAUUCGGUAAAGCGAAUGAUUAGAGGCAUUGGGGUCGAAACGGCCUCAACCUAUUCUCAAACUUUAAAUGGGUGANAUCUCCGGCUUGCUUGAACUGUGAAGCCGCGAGAUAUCGGAUCAAAGUGCCAAGUGGGCCACUUUUGGUAAGCAGAACUGGCGCUGUGGGAUGAACCAAACGCUGANUUAAAGCGCCUAAAUCGACGCUUAUGGGAUACCAUGAAAGGCGUUGGUAACUUAAGACAGCAGGACGGUGGCCAUGGAAGUCGGA